GCCGUUUGGUUGCACUGGCUGGUUUCAACUUCCUGUAGAGGACGCGCUCUGGCUUCAUCGCUGGACGCGGAGUCUACGUGGUUACUUUGAAAAAAUUAGAGUGUUCAAAGCGGGCUUACGCUUGAAUAUUUCAGCAUGGAAUAACACUAUAGGACUCCUGUCCUAUUUCGUUGGUCUCGGGACGGGAGUAAUGAUUAAGAGGAACAGUUGGGGGCAUUCGUAUUUCAUUGUCAGAGGUGAAAUUCUUGGAUUUAUGAAAGACGAACUUCUGCGAAAGCAUUUGCCAAGGUUGUUUUCAUUAAUCAAGAACGAAAGUUGGGGGCUCGAAGAUGAUUAGAUACCAUCCUAGUCUCAACCAUAAACGAUGCCGACUAGGGAUUGCAGGAUGUUAAUUGAUGACUCCUGCAGCACCUUAUGAGAAAUCAAAGUUUUUGGGUUCCGGGGGGAGUAUGGUAGCAAGGCUGAAACUUAAAGGAAUUGACGGAAGGGCACCACCAGGCGUGGAGCCUGCGGCUUAAUUUGACUCAACACGGGAAGACUU
rnacentral:rRNA from 1 species